UUGGAUGCAAGUUAUCAAAUGGCGGCAGUUCAAAAGCAGUGAAGAAAGAGGAUAUAGCUGAUGGAAUUAACACACUGAUGUCGGAUGAAGAAAUUCACAAACAGGCAGCUAUGAUACGUGGGGGCUUCAAGAGUGGUUUCCCAGCAAGUUCAGUGUCUGCGCUAGAUGCUUUUGUGGAUUUUAUCAAGAAAAACACAUCUUAGCUAAAAGGCACCUUGUGGGCUUUAUGGUUUUUAUGCACCUGAGUGGUUUUAUCAUUAUUCAUCUCUAGUUUAGCUGCUGAAAUGUCACAUGCUGGGAAUGUGAGCUGAUAUUUUUAGGCAGCCUACUGUUUUUACUGUGGGACUUGUAUGCUCCUCUUUCUCAGAAAAAAGGGGAGCUUCUUAAUGCAAUCGAGCUUUGUUUUAUCUUGCAAAAAGAAUAUAUUGGACUUUUACUCCCGUGAAGCUAGAUCUAAACAAAGGAUACAUUGAAUCAAGAUGGCUCUGUAUUCCCUCCGAGGAGGAUUUCUGUGUACUGGGAUGCCUAAAUAAAAGUACAAUUAGGAACAGCCAUAAGAGAUCAGAUGCUGAAAUCCUAGUUGUGUCAAAAAGUGCGAAGUUAAAACAACGCAAUAAGAAAGCUUGAUAGUAGCUUCAUAAGUUACCAGGACUGACAAGACUAGAUGAAGCUGUGUGGUCUGUA
rnacentral:lncRNA from 1 species